UUGAAUAGGUAACAUUGUUAUUGAAUU
rnacentral:piRNA from 1 species